rnacentral:rRNA from 1 species
AGGCUUAAUACAUGCAAGUCGUGGGGCAGCAGGAGUAGCAAUACUUGCUGGCGACCGGCAAACGGGUGCGUAACACGUACACAACUUUCCUUUAAGUGGGGGAUAGCCCAGAGAAAUUUGGAUUAAUACCCCGUAAUAUUAUGAGAUGGCAUCAUUUUAUAAUUAUAGCUUCGGCGCUUGAAGAUGGGUGUGCGGCUGAUUAGGUAGUUGGCGGGGUAACGGCCCACCAAGCCUUCGAUCAGUAGCUGAUGUGAGAGCAUGAUCAGCCACACGGGCACUGAGACACGGGCCCGACUCCUACGGGAGGCAGCAGUAAGGAAUAUUGGUCAAUGGACGCAAGUCUGAACCAGCCAUGCCGCGUGAAGGAUUAAGGUCCUCUGGAUUGUAAACUUCUUUUAUUUGGGACGAAAAAAGGGAAAUCUUUCUCACUUGACGGUACCAGAUGAAUAAGCACCGGCUAACUCCGUACCAGCAGCCGCGGUAAUACGGAGGGUGCAAGCGUUAUCCGGAUUCACUGGGUUUAAAGGGUGCGUAGGCGGAUAGGAAAGUCAGUGGUGAAAUCUUCGAGCUUAACUCGGAAACUGCCAUUGAUACUAUUAUCUUGAAUAUUGUGGAGGUGAGCGGAAUAUGUCAUGUAGCGGUGAAAUGC